rnacentral:tRNA from 1 species
GCUCGAAUGGCGGAAGCAGGUAGACGCGCGCGGUUCAGGACCGCGUGGCCGCAAGGUCGUGGGGGUUCGACUCCCUCUUCGAGCACGA